rnacentral:rRNA from 1 species
GAUGAACGCUGACAGCAUGCUUAACACAUGCAAGUCCACUUGAAUUUGGGUUUUUACCUUAGGUUUGGGUGGCGGACGGGUGAGUAACGCGUAAAGAACUUGCCUCACAGCUAGGGACAACAUUUGGAAACGAAUGCUAAUACCUAAUAUUAUGAUAAUAGGGCAUCCUAUAAUUAUGAAAGCUAUAAGCGCUGUGAGAGAGCUUUGCGUCCCAUUAGCUAGUUGGAGAGGUAACGGCUCACCAAGGCGAUGAUGGGUAGCCGGCCUGAGAGGGUGAUCGGCCACAAGGGGACUGAGACACGGCCCUUACUCCUACGGGAGGCAGCAGUGGGGAAUAUUGGACAAUGGACCGAGAGUCUGAUCCAGCAAUUCUGUGUGCACGAUGAAGUUUUUCGGAAUGUAAAGUGCUUUCAGUUGGGAAGAAACAAAUGACGGCACCAACAGAAGAAGUGACGGCUAAAUACGUG